AGCUAUCACAGAACUGGUUAAAACUGGCAUUUACAUCAGCUAGAACUAUCAAAAUAGAUGCAUCAAUUUCUCCACUGGCUACUCCCAAACAAUUUGAACAAUGCAUUCAGGCAGCAAGUGUUUCCACCAAUAAAAUAAAAAGAAUUGAUUUCAUCCAGAAGAACUGUUUGAACUGUGGACUGUUUGAAAUAUUUUGCACCUGCUCAGAAAUCCCUUCACAGCUUGUCUUUGAAUUUGAAAGGCUGUUUUUAAUUAAAUAAAUUUUCUAGAUAACUAA